UGGGGAAUUUUGGACAAUGGGGGAAACCCUGAUCCAGCCAUCCCGCGUGUGCGAUGAAGGCCUUCGGGUUGUAAAGCACUUUUUGCAGGAAAGAAACGUCAUGGGUUAAUACCCCGUGAAACUGACGGUACCUGCAGAAUAAGCACCGGCUAACUACGUGCCAGCAGCCGCGGUAAUACGUAGGGUGCAAGCGUUAAUCGGAAUUACUGGGCGUAAAGCGUGCGCAGGCGGUUCGGAAAGAAAGAUGUGAAAUCCCAGAGCUAAACUUUGGAACUGCAUUUUUAACUACCGGGCUAGAGUGUGUCAGAGGGAGGUGGAAUUCCGCGUGUAGCAGUGAAAUGCGUAGAUAUGCGGAGGAACACCGAUGGCGAAGGCAGCCUCCUGGGAUAACACUGACGCUCAUGCACGAAAGCGUGGGGAGCAAACAGG
rnacentral:rRNA from 1 species